UUAUUAAAGUUGUUGCGGUUAAAAAGCUCGUAGUCGAAUCUGUGUCCCGCGCCGACGGUUCAUCGUACGCGGUGUCAACUGGCGUGUCGCGGGACGUCCUGCCGGUGGGCUUAGCUCGCAAGGGCGGCCCAACUCAAUCCCGCCGCGGUGCUCUUCACUGAGUGUCGAGGUGGGCCGGCACGUUUACUUUGAACAAAUUAGAGUGCUUAAAGCAGGCUAAAAUUUCGCCUGAAUACUGUGUGCAUGGAAUAAUGGAAUAGGACCUCGGUUCUAUUUUGUUGGUUUUCGGAACCCCGAGGUAAUGAUUAAUAGGAACGGAUGGGGGCAUUCGUAUUGCGACGUUAGAGGUGAAAUUCUUGGAUCGUCGCAAGACGGACAGAAGCGAAAGCAUUUGCCAAA
rnacentral:rRNA from 1 species